AGUGAACGCUGGCGGUAGGCCUAACACAUGCAAGUCGAACGGCAGCACAGUAAGAGCUUGCUCUUACGGGUGGCGAGUGGCGGACGGGUGAGGAAUACAUCGGAAUCUACUUUUUCGUGGGGGAUAACGUAGGGAAACUUACGCUAAUACCGCAUACGACCUACGGGUGAAAGCAGGGGAUCUUCGGACCUUGCGCGAUUGAAUGAGCCGAUGUCGGAUUAGCUAGUUGGCGGGGUAAAGGCCCACCAAGGCGACGAUCCGUAGCUGGUCUGAGAGGAUGAUCAGCCACACUGGAACUGAGACACGGUCCAGACUCCUACGGGAGGCAGCAGUUGGGAAUAUUUGACAAUGGGCGCAAGCCUGAUCCAGCCAUACCGCGUGGGUGAAGAAGGCCUUCGGGUUUUAAAGCCCUUUUGUUGGGAAAGAAAAGCAGCAGGUUAAUACCCCGCUGUUCUGACGGUACCCAAAGAAUAAGCACCGGCUAACUUCGUG
rnacentral:rRNA from 1 species